UGGGGAAUUUUGGACAAUGGGCGAAAGCCUGAUCCAGCAAUGCCGCGUGUGUGAAGAAGGCCUUCGGGUUGUAAAGCACUUUUGUCCGGAAAGAAAUCCUUGGCUCUAAUACAGUCGGGGGAUGACGGUACCGGAAGAAUAAGCACCGGCUAACUACGUGCCAGCAGCCGCGGUAAUACGUAGGGUGCAAGCGUUAAUCGGAAUUACUGGGCGUAAAGCGUGCGUAGGCGGUUUGCUAAGACCGAUGUGAAAUCCCCGGGCUCAACCUGGGAACUGCAUUGGUGACUGGCAGGCUAGAGUAUGGCAGAGGGGGGUAGAAUUCCACGUGUAGCAGUGAAAUGCGUAGAGAUGUGGAGGAAUACCGAUGGCGAAGGCAGCCCCCUGGGCCAAUACUGACGCUCAUGCACGAAAGCGUGGGGAGCAAACAGGAUUAGAUACCCUGGUAGUCCACGCCCUAAACGAUGUCACUAGUUGUUGGGGAUUCAUUUCCUUAGUAACGUAGCUAACGCGUGAAGUUGACCGCCUGGGGAGUACGGUCGCAAGAUUAAAACUCAAAUGAAUUGACGGGGUCAUAGCUGUUUCCU
rnacentral:rRNA from 1 species